UACGGAGGGGGCUAGCGUUGUUCGGAAUCAUUGGGCGUAAAGAGCGUGUAGGCGGCCCGGUAAGUCCGCUGUGAAAGUCGGGGGCUCAACCCUCGAAUGCCGGUGGAUACUGUCGGGCUAGAGUGCGGAAGAGGCGAGUGGAAUUCCUGGUGUAGCGGUGAAAUGCGCAGAUAUCAGGAGGAACACCAAUUGCGAAGGCAGCUCGCUGGGACGUAACUGACGCUGAGACGCGAAAGCGUGGGGAGCAAACAGG
rnacentral:rRNA from 1 species